AUGAAUGAACCACCAGGAGCUCAUAUGAGAGUUGGUUUAACUGCCCUAACUAUGGCAGAAUAUUUCCGAGAUGUUAAUAAGCAAGACAUGCUUUUAUUUAUCGAUAAUAUCUUUCGUUUUGUUCAAACAGGAUCAGAGGUAUCCGCUUUAUUAGGGAGAAUGCCCUCCGCAGUGGGUUAUCAACCUACUGUUAGUACAGAAAUGGGUUCUUUGCAACAAAGAAUUGCUUCUACUAAAAAGGGAUCUAUAACUUUGAUUCGAGCAGUUUAUGUACCUGUUGACGAUUUGACCGACCCAGCCCUGCCAAACCGUUUGCACAUUUGGAUGCUACUAUCGUACUUUCCAGAGGAUUAG
rnacentral:rRNA from 1 species